AUGGAUUUUAGAGCGAAACUAGCCGUCAUUUUAGUGGACUCGGAAUUGAAUGAUGAUAAUAUAAGAAAUCGAGACAUUGAAGAUGACGAAAACAACACAGAUCCCACAAAUUGUAUGAUUCUGGAAACACCCCCUGAGAACCUGAAACCAUCGAAUACAUCGUCAGAAGUUGAGCUCAUCUCGCAAUCAUUUAUCCUUUCGCCCUCUCUCACUCCAACAAAUGAUGACUUAAUAGAUGAACUUUGUUUGUUCAUCGACUCACAUCAUCGUGAAAAUAUGGACAUUGCUAUGUUGAAAUGGAUGUUUGAUAGCUGGCCAGGCAAUAAUGAGUAUCAUAUUUCACAUUGUGAUACGAUUUUAUUGCCAUGGGAUAUUUGUGGGAUAUUUCUAUUGUUUAUUUUUGAUCAAAAUAAAUAA
rnacentral:rRNA from 1 species